rnacentral:sRNA from 1 species
UAUCUGUGGUAACCCCUUGUGUUCCAGG